rnacentral:tRNA from 1 species
GGUGCUGUAGUAUAGUGGUUAGUAUUCCAGCCUGUCACGUUGGAGAGCUGGGUUCAAUUCCCAGCAGUGCCG